AGGGAAUAUUAGAAAUGGACGAAAGUCUGAUCUAGCAACACCGCGUGUGCGAAGAAGGCCUUCGGGUCGUAAAGCACUUUUUGGAAGGAAUAGGAAGGAAUGUACUUCCAGAAUAAGUCUCGGCUAACUACGUGCCAGCAGCCGCGGUAACACGUAGGAGGCAAACGUUAUCCGGAUUUACUGGGCGUAAAGCGCGUGUAGGUGGUUCUGUAAGUAGGGCGUGAAAGCUCCCGGCUCAACUGGGAGAUGCCGUUCUAAACUGCAGAGCUAGAGGAUGGUAGAGGGAGGUGGAAUUCCAGGUGUAGCGGUGGAAUGCGCAGAUAUCUGGAGGAACACCAGUGGCGAAGGCGGCCUCCUGGACCAUUCCUGACACUCAGACGCGAAAGCUAGGGUAGCAAACGG
rnacentral:rRNA from 1 species